AUUUAUAUAGUUUAAAAAAAACAUUACUUUUUCAUAGUAAAAUUGGAUUUUAUCUUGUAAAUA
rnacentral:tRNA from 1 species